rnacentral:rRNA from 1 species
UACGAAGGGGGCUAGCGUUGUUCGGAAUCACUGGGCGUAAAGGGCGCGUAGGCGGCUUUAUAAGUCGGGGGUGAAAGCCUGUGGCUCAACCACAGAAUUGCCCUUCGAUACUGUAGAGCUUGAGACCGGAAGAGGUAAGUGGAACUGCGAGUGUAGAGGUGAAAUUCGUAGAUAUUCGCAAGAACACCAGUGGCGAAGGCGGCUCACUGGCCCGGUACUGACGCUGAGGUGCGAAAGCGUGGGGAGCAAACAGG